AUGGCGGGCACAAGAGCAGCAGCGAUGAAGCUGGCGGUCGUCCUCCUGGCCAUGAGCCAGCUCGUCCACAUGGCGACCCCGACGGCGGAUCCAAUGACUACUGCGUCAUCGUCUCUACUGGUUACGAGCGUCUCCGGCCCUUCCGACGGGGAACAUAAACCCAGCCAUGGCAUCAGGGAAGAGAAGGUGUUGCUCAACGCGCCCAACAUCCCUGCAGUUCCGCCCCCUCCCCACCUCGUCCUACCGUGCAAGGGAAGAGCGUGUUGA
rnacentral:rRNA from 1 species